AUGCGGUCCCCCACUUGCACUGCCCUGUCUGGCCCACCUCUCUGUCCUAAGGUUGCUGAAAGCAUAUCUGAUGAGCUGUGUCUGCUUUCAAUCUGAGCUCAGGCUUGGUGGGCAGUUGUGUGCCUCCUGUGAAAGCAGUUCCCAAAACCCAGCCCUGCCAAGAGCAGUAGAGUGGCACAGCAGGGUAAAGCCCUGGAGGCGAAAGUGCUGGGCACUGAGUGUCCUCUGCCCUGUCCCACAGGAGGCCGGUGGCCCAUGGCAGGUUCCCCCGUGUGCCACAGAGCUCUGGGGACCAUCAGAGCAGCAGCUCCACAACGCAGAACAUCAGGGCUUCCCUACAGAGAAGCGGUCAGCAACAGGCCUUGACAGUCCAGAAAAAGCCCAGUGUGACCCAGCUGCUGGACAGUGAUGGACACAUCUCAAGGGGCCGUAAAGUCCAGCAUCCUACGGCGAUCAGGACACAGGAUACAUCAGGCCCUGCCGCCUCACGAGGGCCCCGGCCAAGCACAGCCCCCCGACACAUCUCGAGUGCACCAGGGCUCGUCCAGCCUCUCCAGCCCCUCCGGACAUCCACAGCCCCCAGCCAGCUGGAAAGGACUCCGCGCCCAGUGCUCGACCUGGGACAUCUCCUCAGAAGCGAGAAACGCCUGUGACUCU